AGCUACAGGCUUAACACAUGCAAGUCGAGGGGCAGCAUGGUCUUAGCUUGCUAAGGCCGAUGGCGACCGGCGCACGGGUGAGUAACACGUAUCCAACCUGCCGUCUACUCUUGGACAGCCUUCUGAAAGGAAGAUUAAUACAAGAUGGCAUCAUGAGUCCACAUGUUCACAUGAUUAAAGGUAUUCCGGUAGACGAUGGGGAUGCGUUCCAUUAGAUAGUAGGCGGGGUAACGGCCCACCUAGUCUUCGAUGGAUAGGGGUUCUGAGAGGAAGGUCCCCCACAUUGGAACUGAGACACGGUCCAAACUCCUACGGGAGGCAGCAGUGAGGAAUAUUGGUCAAUGGGCGAGAGCCUGAACCAGCCAAGUAGCGUGAAGGAUGACUGCCCUAUGGGUUGUAAACUUCUUUUAUAAAGGAAUAAAGUCGGGUAUGGAUACCCGUUUGCAUGUACUUUAUGAAUAAGGAUCGGCUAACUCCGUGCCAGCAGCCGCGGUAAUACGGAGGAUCCGAGCGUUAUCCGGAUUUAUUGGGUUUAAAGGGAGCGUAGAUGGAUGUUUAAGUCAGUUGUGAAAGUUUGCGGCUCAACCGUAAAAUUGCAGUUGAUACUGGAUAUCUUGAGUGCAGUUGAGGCAGGCGGAAUUCGUGGUGUAGCGGUGAAAUGCUUAGAUAUCACGAAGAACUCCGAUUGCGAAGGCAGCCUGCUAAGCUGCAACUGACAUUGAGGCUCGAAAGUGUGGGUAUCAAACAGGAUUAGAUACCCUGGUAGUCCACACGGUAAACGAUGAAUACUCGCUGUUUGCGAUAUACAGCAAGCGGCCAAGCGAAAGCGUUAAGUAUUCCACCUGUGGAGUACGCCGGCAACGGUGAAACUCAAAGGAAUUGACGGGGGCCCGCACAAGCGGAGGAACAUGUGGUUUAAUUCGAUGAUACGCGAGGAACCUUACCCGGGCUUAAAUUGCAGAUGAAUUACGGUGAAAGCCGUAAGCCGCAAGGCAUCUGUGAAGGUGCUGCAUGGUUGUCGUCAGCUCGUGCCGUGAGGUGUCGGCCUAAGUGCCAUAACGAGCGCAACCCUUGUUGUCAGUUACUAACAGGCUCCGCUGAGGACUCUGACAAGACUGCCAUCGUAAGAUGUGAGGAAGGUGGGGAUGACGUCAAAUCAGCACGGCCCUUACGUCCGGGGCUACACACGUGUUACAAUGGGGGGUACAGAGGGCCGCUACCACGCGAGUGGAUGCCAAUCCCAAAAACCUCUCUCAGUUCGGACUGGAGUCUGCAACCCGACUCCACGAAGCUGGAUUCGCUAGUAAUCGCGCAUCAGCCACGGCGCGGUGAAUACGUUCCCGGGCCUUGUACACACCGCCCGUCAAGCCAUGGGAGCCGGGGGUACCUGAAGUGCGUAACCGCGAGGAGCGCCCUAGGGUAAAACUGGUGACUGGGGCUAAGUA
rnacentral:rRNA from 1 species